rnacentral:siRNA from 1 species
UGACUUUGGAGCCAUUCUUCCC